ACUGCUAUCGGAUUGAUACUAAGCCAUGCGAGUCAUUGUAGUAAUACAAGGCAGACGGCUCAGUAACGCGUAGUCAACCUAACCUAUGGACGGGAAUAACCUCGGGAAACUGAGUAUAAUGCCCGAUAGAACACUAUACCUGAAAUGGUUUGUGUUCCAAAUGAAUGUCGCCGUAGGAUGGGACUGCGGCCUAUCAGUUUGUUGGUGAGGUAAUGGCCCACCAAGACUAUUACAGGUACGGGCUCUGAGAGGAGUAGCCCGGAGAUGGGUACUGAGACACGGACCCAGGCCCUAUGGGGCGCAGCAGGCGAGAAAACUUUGCAAUGUGCGAAAGCACGACAAGGUUAAUCCGAGUGGUUUGUGCUAAACGAACCUUUUGACAGUCCUAGAAACACUGUUGAAUAAGGGGUGGGCAAGUUCUGGUGUCAGCCGCCGCGGUAAAACCAGCACCUCAAGUGGUCAGGAUGAUUAUUGGGCCUAAAGCAUCCGUAGCCGGCUCUAUAAGUUUUCGGUUAAAUCUAUACGCUCAACGUAUAGGCUGCCGGGAAUACUGUAGAGCUAGGGAGUGGGAGAGGUAGACGGUACUCGGUAGGAAGGGGUAAAAUCCUUUGAUCUAUUGAUGACCACCUGUGGCGAAGGCGGUCUACCAGAACACGUCCGACGGUGAGGGAUGAAAGCUGGGGGAGCAAACCGGAUUAGAUACCCGGGUAGUCCCAGCUGUAAACUAUGCAAACUCAGUGAUGCAUUGGCUUGUGGCCAAUGCAGUGCUGCAGGGAAGCCGUUAAGUUUGCCGCCUGGGAAGUACGUACGCAAGUAUGAAACUUAAAGGAAUUGGCGGGGGAGCACCACAAGGGGUGAAG
rnacentral:rRNA from 1 species